rnacentral:lncRNA from 1 species
AGAAAAGGAGCAGGGGGUUGCUGAUGUAGCCUUCCCAGCGCUAAGGCUGAAUGGGGUAGGUAGGCUUCUGCUGCUACUUGUUUAUGGGUGUGCAUGUUGUAAUCAGUUCUACUUUUUCCUUUAGAUUCAUCAGAGAUUACAGAUAAUUUCAGUGAACUCAGAAAUGUGCUGAAUGAGAAUAAUGCCCGAGUAAUCGUUCUGUUCUGUGGAAAAAGGGGGAGCAGAAGGCCCAGAAAUGAAUCUGAGAGAAGCAACGUAAAUGGUUCUUCUGCAAAAGUUUUCAGUGAGAGCCCUUAUGUGCGCAUAGAAUCCUUGCAGGAGAUCUCGUACGCUGACUCCUCAGCAAACUUCAGGCUCAUCUCUACCCUUUAAGGCAGCUCAGAGCCUUGGAUCCCAACCCAUGCAAGUCUUCUCCAGACUGCGCUUUAUUCCCUUCUCUCAGCCCUGAAUCAGGGCUUGAACCUGAACCCUUGAAUCAGAGUUGUCUCUUGCUUUGCUGGCUAACUCUUCUGAAUGGAGGCACUUCUUAUAGGCCUUGUUUCAAAUAAUGUAGGUAAUCUCACUGAAUUUAUUCACCACUUAGGAAUUUGGUUAAUAGCUUUUUGAAUCUGCGGUAAAGAUAGUCACUUCAUGACACGCUGCUUCAGCUUCCCUUUUUCCCCUGUUGCGUUUUUGGUCAAGAGGUAAGGUUGUGCAGGAGGAUUUCUAAUCUGAGAACCUUCUUCAAAUCCUCGUUAUCCAGCAGCU